AUGGCGAGCUCGUCAUCCGAGGCGGCGCCGCCCGUCGCCGCCGGCGAGGAUCCAUUCCACCUGGACACGCUCAUGAGGGCCGAGGAAUUCCUGGAGCCUCUGCCGCCGCCGGACGAGGAGUUUCUUGCGCGGGUCCGGGAGCAGCGGGGACAGAAGGGCUUCGUCGAGAUAGAACUCACCGACGACGACGACGACGACGAGGAGGAGGGAGGAAACGCAGCUCCCCCGGCUAGUGGAAGGGGAUCUGUGGAGGAGGACAGGUCCAGCCCCGAGGUCACCAAGAAACCGGGCGGCGGCACUGCGAUCAAGAAGCUCAGCUGA
rnacentral:rRNA from 1 species